rnacentral:rRNA from 1 species
UACGUAGGGCGCAAGCGUUGUCCGGAAUUAUUGGGCGUAAAGAGCUCGUAGGCGGCUUGUCACGUCGGGUGUGAAAGCCCGGGGCUUAACCCCGGGUCUGCAUUCGAUACGGGCUAGCUAGAGUGUGGUAGGGGAGAUCGGAAUUCCUGGUGUAGCGGUGAAAUGCGUAGAUAUCUGGAGGAACACCGGUGGCGAAGGCGGCAUCCUGGACCGACACUGACACUGAGGAGCGAAAGCCAGGGGAGCAAACGGG